rnacentral:rRNA from 1 species
CGGAGGGUGCGAGCGUUGUCCGGAAUCAUUGGGCGUAAAGGGCGCGUAGGUGGCGGGACAAGCGUGCGGUGAAAGCCUGGGGCUCAACCCCGGGUCGGCCGUGCGAACUGUUUUGCUUGAGCACUGUAGAGGCAGGCGGAAUUCCGGGUGUAGCGGUGGAAUGCGUAGAGAUCCGGAAGAACACCGGUGGCGAAGGCGGCCUGCUGGGCAGUAGCUGACACUGAGGCGCGACAGCGUGGGGAGCAAACAGGAUUAGAUACCCUGGUAGUCCACGCCGUAAACGAUGGGCACUAGGCGCUUGGGGGAGCGACCCCCCGAGGGCCGGCGCUAACGCAUUAAGUGCCCCGCCUGGGGAGUACGGCCGCAAGGCUG